CAGAAAACAAGGGCGAAGUCAUCCACGGAAGCUGAGUAUCGUGCUGUAGCUGCUGCUUCCAGUGAGAUACUUUGGAUACAAAAUCUGUUGCAUGAACUUCACCAUCCAAUGCCUUCAACUCCGGUCAUCUAUUGUGAUAAUGCAGGUGCGACAUAUGUUAGUGCUAAUCCCGUCUUCCAUUCCCGGAUGAAGCAUCUUGCACUUGAUUAUCACUUUGUUAGAGAGCAUGUUCAGGCUGGCAAGCUAAGGGUGGCAUACAUGUCAACAAAUGAUCAGCUAGCUGAUGUACUAACAAAACCGUUGCCUAAGCUCCAAUUCACUACACUGAUUACCAAAAUUGGUCUAUCAUUACCACAGCCCAUUUUGCAGGGGCGUGUUGGAGAAUGAUAAGUCUGGAAACACAGAGUUAUCAUUCUUCCUCUUCUCUUGUAAUAAGUUUAAUCAUGUAAUUAUCUUUCCUAGAUUAUAGGCUUUAUCUUUUCUCUUAAUUAUCUUUUGCAAUCUUGUAUUUUUAUAUAUACCGUGUACAGCCUUUGUAAAUGAAGAAAAGCAAAAAUACAAUUAUAAUUCCUCUAUAUUCUUCCCUUAAUUUAUCUUACACUGUGGUCCCAUAAAUCCCAGUGAAGCGCAAUCCAACCUCUCCAUUCGAAUUUAUUUAUUUAUUUAAUUUAAAAUUGUUUUCAAAUACUUUACUACAAGUAUGAAUUUCAAUUUUCAAGCAUAAUCACGAAAUUUUAAUUUCUUUCUUGUAAUUCGAGUUUUUUAUGCAAAAAACUUGAAAUUUAAGCUUCUAGGUGUUCUUCUGGAAUGAUCUGCGAGUUUUUUCAGUUGAGCUAGUUGAAUUAGUUGGUGGGUCCUUCAAAUGAGUUGAAGAUUGGGGGAGAAACACAAUCGUAUUUCUUGCUUCAACACAAAUGGUUAUUGAGCUCAUUUGAUUGAUUUGGUUGGUGGGUUUAAUAGUAUAGGGGUGGAUUGAUCAAAAUUACUCCAGAAGUUUCUGAUGCUCUAUCUCGUGGAGCAGCUGUUUUUGCUUUGGAAUCAACUAUUAUUUGUCAUGGAAUGCCCUACCCUCAAAAUUUUAUAACUGCAAAGGAAAUUGAAGCAAUUGUGAGAGACAAGGAGCGAUUCCUGCAACCAUUGCUAUAUUGGUCUAUUGGAUGGAAUUUCGUGUAUAGCAAGCUGGAAAACUUUGAAGUGUUGUCUUUAGUCUCUGAGGUGACUUAAUUCAAAAUCAGGUCUCCAAACUGAAGCGUUGGAGAGGCUUGCUAAAACAGGAGCGCAAGUUUGAAAGACUACUCGUCGUGACAUUGCUGCUAUUGUCCUCAGUGCUCGCUCUAGUAGAUAAUGAGAGAGGAGGAGCUAUUUGACCAAUGUGAUAGUGCCUUUGUUUUUUUAGAAUAUGUCUACUAGUAUUUCUUUAUUUGUUUCAGUAUUUCAUUCUUUUUUUGUAUAGCACUUUCUCCAUAUUUAAUAAGGAGAGCUUUGUCUGUGGUUCGGGUUGGUGAAAUCUUGGGAACAUUAAUCAAAACAUUCAAGGCCUCCUUCUUAUCCACCUUUGAUGAGCUACCAUCAUACCUGACUCCUAUGUGGCUACUAGUACUGCACUACUGCCACUAUCAAUACGUUGUCGAUGCUGCCACUGUCCAUAUGUUGCCGAUACUGCCACUGUUUUAUGUUGUCGAUGCUGCUGUCCAAAAUUGAUGUUGCUGUCCAAAAUUGAUACUGUUGUCCAAAAUUGAUGUUGCUGUUUUCAUUUGUUGCAUAGGCUGCCAGCCUUAUUUGUAAAUUUUUCUUAUUUGUAAAUAUAUAGUUUACAUUGUAUAAUUACAAUAAGUUAUAUGAAAAUGGUUUCUUUUAUGUA